CUUUCUUGAAGGCUUUGGACUGCAGACCAACAACAUGACAGUCAGCAGUACAGGAAAAAAUAUGUUCAACUUAAUCAAUAAUGUCUUCAAAGAAAGUCUCUUCCCUUCUUCGAAUGUCCUUCUUUGGUCUUGGCUAACAGAACCUCCUUUUGUGAAAGUAGCCAGUGGUCAAUGGACAACUCUUCACCAAGAAGGACGUAGAGGAACCAAAGGGAGCUCAUGGUCCAAUGGAGGAGACAAUAUACAAAUGAAUACAUGCAGAUAAGCCAUAUUCAGGAUAAAAGGCUCUUUCUUCCAAAACAAUGUAAACUCACUGAGGACAAGGACAAUUUCUUUGGCAUCUUUUUGUUUUAUUGUUGAUUUCAUUGUUAAUAAAUUGUAUAUUUAGUAACCUUACUAUUUAUUG
rnacentral:lncRNA from 1 species